AAAUCUGGCCCUUUCGGGUCCGAGUUGUAAUUUGUAGAGGAUGCUUUUGGCAAGGCGCCGCCCGAGUUCCCUGGAACGGGACGCCACAGAGGGUGAGAGCCCCGUCUGGCUGGCCGCCGAGCCUCUGUAAAGCUCCUUCGACGAGUCGAGUAGUUUGGGAAUGCUGCUCAAAAUGGGAGGUAUAUGUCUUCUAAAGCUAAAUAUUGGCCAGAGACCGAUAGCGCACAAGUAGAGUGAUCGAAAGAUGAAAAGCACCUUGAAAAGAGGGUUAAAUAGUACGUGAAAUUGUUGAAAGGGAAGCGCUUGUGACCAGACUUGGGCGCGGCGGAUCAUCCGGGGUUCUCCCCGGUGCACUUCGCCGUGUCCAGGCCAGCAUCAGUUCGUCGCGGGGGAAAAAGGCUUCGGGAACGUGCCUCCCCUGGGAGUGUUAUAGCCCGUUGCAUAAUACCCUGCGGUGGACUGAGGACCGCGCAUCUGCAAGGAUCGUGNCGUAAUG
rnacentral:rRNA from 1 species